UACGUAGGGGGCAAGCGUUGUCCGGAUUUAUUGGGCGUAAGGGUGCGUAGGCGGCGCGGUAAGUCGGGUGUGAAAUCUCGGAGCUUAACUCCGAAACUGCAUUCGAUACUGCCGUGCUUGAGGACUGGAGAGGAGACUGGAAUUUACGGUGUAGCAGUGAAAUGCGUAGAGAUCGUAAGGAAGACCAGUGGCGAAGGCGGGUCUCUGGACAGUUCCUGACACUGAGGCACGAAGGCCAGGGGAGCAAACGGG
rnacentral:rRNA from 1 species